rnacentral:rRNA from 1 species
ACGGAGGAUGCGAGCGUUAAUCGGAAUCACUGGGCGUAAAGCGCAUGUAGGCUGCUUUGCAAGUCAGGGGUGAAAUCCCACGGCUCACCCGUGGAACUGCCCUUGAUACUGACUGGCUUGAGUGAGUGAGAGGAUAGUGGAAUUCCUGGUGUAGGAGUGAAAUCCGUAGAGAUCAGGAGGAACAUCAGUGGCGAAGGCGACUAUCUGGCACUAUACUGACGCUGAGGUGCGAAAGCGUGGGUAUCAAACAG